CGAUGAUCCAAAUGAACUAAUCCAGCUUGAAGAUGACAAUAAUUCCCCGCCUGCUCCAUCAAAAAACCCCAUCAGAAAAAUUGCAUCUUUCAAUUAAUCCAAGAAGAAAGGGAAUAAAGAUUUAAUUGCAAUCAAAACAAAGGAGUACCCGAAUAUAUUACGUGUUGUGAAGUUGUUGUUGAUAAACUCAACGGGACUAUCUGCGGCGGCGGUAGUGGUGACGCUGAAGUUUGUACCAACGGCUUUACAGAACUAUUAUUGGAUGAUUGUGAGGGUUGCUUCAGUCGUUUACCCUUGCGACAACCACCGCCGACGGGGACGUUCCGUAGAGUGCCACCGUGAGUCCAAUACCUUCUACAAGUCUUGCAAAGAUAACGAGGCUGAGACAAACUGUAGUUAUUGUAAUAACAAAACUUAGUAUUGAGAGAAUCACAACGAGGACAUUUUUGAGGCUGUGGUUGAACUUGAUCUUGCACUUGUACACUCUUCAAUCUCCGAUCUUGAUACUGCAUAUUAUCUCUUAACCAAAUUCCGCUUUUUUUUGGGGGAGGGGAGGAAAAUAUUCAGAUUUUUUUUUUGGGAUUUUAGAGAAAUAAAUGAAGACAGUAUUAGUUUCAAGAAA